rnacentral:rRNA from 1 species
AGUGAACGCUGGCGGUAUGCCUAACACAUGCAAGUCGAACGGCAGCACAGUAAGAUCUUGCUCUUACGGGUGGCGAGUGGGGGACGGGUGAGGAAUACAUCGGAAUCUAAUUUUUCGUGGGGGAUAACGUAGGGAAACUUACGCUAAUACCGCAUAUGACCUACGGGUGAAAGCAGGGGAUCUUCGGACCUUUCGCGAUUGAAUGAGCCGAUUUCGGAUUAGCUAGUUGGGCCGGUAAAGUCCCACCAAGGCGACGAUCCCUAGCUGGUCUGAGAGGAUGAUCGACCACACUGGAACUGAGACACAGUCCAGACUCCUACGGGAUGCAACAGUGUUGCAUCUUGCACAAUGGUCAGAAGCCUUAUGCACCAAUACCCCGUGGGUGAAGAAGGCCUUCUGGUUGUAAAGCCCUUUUGUUGGGAAAAAAACGAAUCAGGUUAAUCCCCCGAUGUUCUAACGGUACCCAAACAAUAAGCAACGGCUAACUUCGUG